UCAUGGCGUCAGGAUGAACGCUAGCUACAGGCUUAACACAUGCAAGUCGAGGGGCAGCAUGUUGGUUGCUUGCAACCAAUGAUGGCGACCGGCGCACGGGUGAGUAACGCGUAUCCAACCUUCCCUAUAGUAGAGGAUAGCCCGGCGAAAGUCGGAUUAAUACUCUAUGUUUUCCAAUGCAGACAUCUAAAAUGGAACAAAGGUUCACCGCUAUAGGAUGGGGAUGCGUCUGAUUAGAUAGUCGGCGGGGUAACGGCCCACCGAGUCGACGAUCAGUAGGGGUUCUGAGAGGAAGGUCCCCCACAUUGGAACUGAGACACGGUCCAAACUCCUACGGGAGGCAGCAGUGAGGAAUAUUGGUCAAUGGGCGAGAGCCUGAACCAGCCAAGUAGCGUGCAGGAUGACGGCCCUAUGGGUUGUAAACUGCUUUUAUACAGGGAUAAAGUGACGUACGUGUACGUUAUUGUAGGUACUGUAUGAAUAAGGACCGGCUAAUUCCGUGCCAGCAGCGGC
rnacentral:rRNA from 1 species